UGGGCCUUUGAUGAAGUUUUUAGAACAGUAAAAACAUCACUUAUCUCUUAACGCGGUGACCACAGAGUAAAAUUCUCCACAGUAUGUCAUAGUCACUCAGUAGUGCUAUAUUUUUCUGAGGAGAUAACAAU
rnacentral:snoRNA from 1 species